rnacentral:rRNA from 1 species
CCCGACUGCUAUCAGAGUGAGACUAAGCCAUGCGAGUCAACGUAUGAAUAAUACGCGGCGAACGGCUCAGUAACACGUAGUCAACAUGCCCAAAGGACGUGGAUAACCUCGGGAAACUGAGGAUAAACCGCGAUAGGUCAUAAGUACUGGAAUGUUUUAUGGCUCAAAUCUACACGGCCUCUGGAUUGGACUGCGGCCGAUCAGGCUGUUGGUGAGGUAAUGGCCCACCAAACCUGUUACCGGUACGGGCUCUGAGAGGAGGAGCCCGGAGAUGGGCACUGAGACAAGGGCCCAGGCCCUAUGGGGCGCAGCAGGCGCGAAACCUCUGCAAUAGGCGAAAGCUUGACAGGGUUACUCUGGGUGAUUCCCGCUAAGGGAAUCUUUUGGCAUCUCUAAAAACGAUGCAGAAU